rnacentral:lncRNA from 1 species
GGUUGGGGCAAGUAUGGACACAACAUUCAAGCUGGAUACAGCUCUAAAUUUGGAUUGUGAUUAAAUAGUUGACACAGCAUAGGUUUCUGACACAAAAUGAAUGUGGUCUAAUGAACUUAAAAAUUUUUUUUUUGCUUUGAGCAAUUCACUAUGCUGUUGAAUAUUAAUCCUCUCAAAAAAAUGUUUGAAGAAAUUUUCUUUUUAUUUAUGAAAUCUGAAAUGAGAAAAAUUUACCCGCCCCCCCAUUUUUUUUUC